ACACUACGACCUUAACGCAAACGCUCAAAACCCGACUCCGGAGUGGCACUCGUGGGCGCUACCCAACUAAAUAUGCAAAAGUGUCUCUACCGAACUCAAUCAGGCUCUCACAGGCUAUAAUCAAAGCAAAUUGGUCUAACUGGUCUAACAACCAAAUCUCACAUGCCCUCGGCACAAUCUGAUACAAAAACAGCAAUCUGAGUCCACCGUCAACCGCGACGGCACCCGACAGUCAGAAACAGUCUACACACUAUUGUAAAAUAAGCUCGGC
rnacentral:lncRNA from 1 species